UGUGUACUGCACCCAAUUUAGUACGGUCCAGUCCCCCCCUUCUGUAUUUGCAGUUGGAGCGGCCCGCCUCCUGUUUGAUGCACUGCACCUUCACAGCUGGGAACACAUGCUGCAAACAUUUAGGAUCAAUAAGCAGCGUCUGAUUGAUUUAAAGUGACGGCGUCUUCAUUUCAGGACAAAGUGAGACGCCUUCCAUCGUCCGACUGGCCAUUUUUGAAAAAGCCUCUCAGUGUUCCCCUGAUUUGAUUCAAGCACCACUGGGUGAAGCAAAUUUCAUCAAACUUGUUUCCUGAAUAAAAAAAAUGAAGCCGUUUUUUUUUUUUUGUAGCUGACGGAGGCUCAGACUGAGCGAUUGACAGAAAUGUGACAAACAGCAACAGAAGCAGCGCUGAUUUGAUGCCACAUGGCUGAUAUAGGGGAGCUUUGUAAAGAGAAAAGAGUUUAAAGUUUGUAGUACGACACGAAAACUAUAACAUGUUCUUUCUGCCCUGCAUGACUAAAUAUUCCACUCAUGAAACACAAACAGGAUUCAGUGCCUAAUCCUCUUGUGUUCUUUGUUUAUUGUGCAAAAUAAACAUGAUGACUAAAGAGCAUAUCCUCUUGAGAGGUGGGGUCCAUCUCGAGAGAUCCGAACACUGAAGAGGCCUAUCAAAUGUCAUCCUAUUCCUACAUUUCUGUUUAGAUAUCAGCCGUCAAACAGAACAUAAAUUCAGCUGAAAAGGUCCUCAUUCUGUUUAAAGUAUUUCCUGUCUCACUACCUUUUAUGUU